UACGUAGGGUGCGAGCGUUGUCCGGAAUUACUGGGCGUAAAGAGCUCGUAGGUGGUUUGUCGCGUUGUUCGUGAAAACUCACAGCUCAACUGUGGGCGUGCGGGCGAUACGGGCAGACUGGAGUACUGCAGGGGAGACUGGAAUUCCUGGUGUAGCGGUGGAAUGCGCAGAUAUCAGGAGGAACACCGGUGGCGAAGGCGGGUCUCUGGGCAGUGAACUGACGCUGGAGGCGCGAAAGCUAGGGGAGCGAACAGG
rnacentral:rRNA from 1 species